rnacentral:tRNA from 2 species
GGGGCGGUAGUUCAGUCUGGUUAGAAUACCGGCCUGUCACGCCGGGGGUCGCGGGUUCGAGUCCCGUCCGCCCCGCCA